ACCAGAGCAGCCGUAAGGCGGGACAGA
rnacentral:sRNA from 1 species